rnacentral:rRNA from 1 species
ACUCAAAUGAAUUGACGGGGGCCCGCACAAGCGGAGGAACAUGUGGUUUAAUUCGAUGAUACGCGAGGAACCUUACCUGGGCUUAAAUGUAUAGUGCAUUCAGUAGAAAUAUUGAUUUCCUUCGGGACUCUAUGCAAGGUGCUGCAUGGUUGUCGUCAGCUCGUGCCGUGAGGUGUCGGGUUAAGUCCCAUAACGAGCGCAACCCUUAUCGUUAGUUGCCAUCGGGUAAUGCCGGGAACUCUAACGAAACUGCCGGUGUAAACCGUGAGGAAGGUGGGGAUGACGUCAAAUCAGCACGGCCCUUAUGUCCAGGGCUACACACGUGUUACAAUGGCCGGUACAGAGGGCAGCUACCUGGAGACAGGAUGCGAAUCUCAAAAGCCGGUCUCAGUUCGGAUCGAAGUCUGCAACUCGACUUCGUGAAGCUGGAUUCGCUAGUAAUCGCGCAUCAGCCAUGGCGCGGUGAAUACGUUCCCGGGCCUUGUACACACCGCCCGU